rnacentral:rRNA from 1 species
GGGGGCAUGUGCACGCUCUGUUUGUGCAUCCACUCACACCUGUGCACCUUCUGUAGUUCUGUGGCCUGGGGGACUUGUCCUCCUGCUGUGGUUCUGCAUCUUUACACUCACGCUGUGAUAAAGUCUAAUGGAAUGCAUGCCGCGUUUAACGCAAUACAAUACAACUUUCAGCAACGGAUCUCUUGGCUCUCGCAUCGAUGAAGAACGCAGCGAAAUGCGAUAAGUAAUGUGAAUUGCAGAAUUCAGUGAAUCAUCGAAUCUUUGAACGCACCUUGCGCCCUUUGGCUAUUCCGAAGGGCAUGCCUGUUUGAGUAUCAUGAACAUCUCAACUCCUCACGGUUUGCCCGUGAUGAGCUUGGACUUUGGGGGUCUUGCCGGCCUGCGGGUCGGCUCCUCUCAAAUGAAUCAGCUUGCCGGUGUUUGGUGGCGUCACAGGUGUGAUAACUAUCUACGCUUGUGGUU